GCCUCACUGCUAUGCAUGGCCCGUCACAACCCAUGACCACUUGGCCCCCAUGCCCGAUGUGCUAGCUAUAAUGCCACCAGCCACCCUUGUCUCCGCUCACGUUGCCUACUUAGUUACAGCCUACGCUAACACUCAUAAUCACUCCCUACGCUUGUUCUAGGCUAGGCACCGACUAAGCCUUCCCCACAAGUCGAGAGGCCAAGCCACAUGCCAAGUGCAAAGGAUGACAACCACUAGUACAAAGGGUGAGGGAGGCUCAGAGAGCAUGUCCAGCAAGGGAGCUACAAGCAACACCAAAAGAGUGUGGGAGGCGCGAGGGUUGGCGCCAACAAGUGUGAGCAUGGAGGACAACCGUGGUGGCGUAGGAGGCCGAGAUAGGGACAUGGGUGAGAUAGAGAGGUUAAUUGCAUUUUACAGACCGCUCCACCAUGUUUGCCAUUGAAUGUACAUCCUAUGCCGGAUCUAAGGGCUAAACAGAGGUUUAUGGACCUCUAGAGAACCGCUUUUAAAUAGUUUAGGGGACCAAAAAUUAAUUUGAAAGUUGAUGGACUCUAAUGACACCCUCAUAAAAGUUAAUGGACCUAUGGUGAAUUUUACUUGAAAUUUUAGUGUGUGUAAGAGAGAAAGAGAGAUUGAUUGAUUGAUUCAAAAAAAAUAAAAAAUAUAUUAUGAGAUGGCUGAAUAUAGCAAAAUGAUAUCUCAUUCAAAAUUUAAGAGUUCACUAACUUUUGUCUGAAUAUGCAACAAUAUAGAUUCCAAGCUAGUGAUUCGAAAGAAGGUAUAUAUACACAGAUUCCACAAUCUGCAGCGAUCUUUCUUUUAAGAAAAAUAAAAUGAAACCCCUUUAAUUAAGGUCCUAAACCUACUACACAGGCGAGCCGGAUGUAGCUUCCU
rnacentral:lncRNA from 1 species